rnacentral:rRNA from 1 species
CCUACGGGGGGCAGCAGUGGGGAAUAUUGGGCAAUGGGCGCAAGCCUGACCCAGCAACGCCGCGUGAAGGAAGAAGGCUUUCGGGUUGUAAACUUCUUUUCUCAGGGACGAAGCAAGUGACGGUACCUGAGGAAUAAGCCACGGCUCACUACGUGCCAGCAGCCGCGGUAAUGCGUAGGUGGCAAGCGUUAUCCGGAUUUACUGGGUGUAAAGGGCGUGUAGGCGGGAAAGCAAGUCAGAUGUGAAAACCAUGGGCUGAACCUGUGGCCUGCAUUUGAAACUGUUUUUCUUGAGUACUGGAGAGGCAGACGGAAUUCCUAGUGUAGCGGUGAAAUGCGUAGAUAUUAGGAGGAACACCAGUGGCGAAGGCGGACUGCUGGACAGCAACUGACGCUGAGGCGCGAAAGCGUGGGGAGCAAACAGGAUUAGAUACCCCUGUAGUC